AAAUGUCACAUAUUAACAUCAAUUGAUAUGUUACAAAUGUCUCUUUCUCCAGCUCGACACCCAGGAGAAAGUUUAAGCUCACUGGGGUCACCUCCCUCGAAGAUAUUAAAUACAAAAUCCACCAUCUCCCAUCUUACGAAGACAAUCUAAGGAUUGUGAAGAUUGAGUACCGUUCACCGUCGAUUGACAAUAUAGGGAAGAUUGAGUUCAACAAAUUUGAGCUCGAGAUGCAUGCAUAUGUAAGAGCUAUGUGGAAUACAUAUUUCUAUUUUGAAAUAAAAGUUCUGGUCGAGUUAGAAGUGACGAUUUCAAGAUCGAUCAAAGAUAUUACGAAGAUGUUGAAGCGUCCACCAGGAUAUUGAAGUGCAAUGUUGCAUUUUAUGUUGAAAUGAUCUAUGUAAUACUUAUUUUAUUUUAUGAAUGUUAAUUUCAUUUUGGAAAAUUAUAUGUUUU
rnacentral:lncRNA from 1 species